UGAGGAAUAUUGGUCAAUGGGGGAAACCCUGAACCAGCGACGCCGCGUGUGGGACGAAGGGGCUCUGCCCUGUAAACCACUGUUGAGAGGGAAGAAAAGCUUUUUGAAAAGCUGGGACUGUACCUCUUUAGAAAGGAUCGGCUAACUACGUGCCAGCAGCCGCGGUAAUACGUAGGAUCCAAGCGUUGUCCGGAAUUACUGGGUGUAAAGGGUGCGUAGGCGGGCUUGUGCGUCAGAGGUUAAAUCCCACGGCUCAACCGUGGAGCUGCCUUUGAUACGGCAAGUCUUGAGUAUGAGAGAGGAUGGUAGAAUUCCUGGUGUAGCGGUGAAAUGCGUAGAUAUCAGGAGGAAUACCGGUGGCGAAGGCGGCCAUCUGGCUCAUUACUGACGCUGAGGCACGAAAGCGUGGGGAGCGAACAGG
rnacentral:rRNA from 1 species